rnacentral:SRP_RNA from 1 species
GCUGGGCAUGGUGGCGUGUGCCUGUACUCCCAGCUACUCGGGAGGCUGAGGCAGAAGAAUUGCUUGAGCCCGGGAGGCGGAGGUUGCAGUGAGCCAACAUUGCGCCACUGCACUCCAGCCUGGGUGACAGAGUGAGACUCUGUCUCAA